UCACACGGAACUGCCGGUCAUAAACCGGAGGAAGUGGGGGAUGACGUCAAGUCAGCAUGGCCUUUAUAUCCUGGGCUACACACACGCUACAAUGGGAAGGGACAAUAGGUUGCGAAGCCGCGAGGCGGAGCCAAUCCAGCAAAACUUCCCUCAGUUCAGAUUGCAGGCUGCAACUCGCCUGCAUGAAGUUGGAGUUGCUAGUAAACGCAGGUCAGCCAUACUGCGUUGAAUACGUUCCCGGGGCUU
rnacentral:rRNA from 1 species